UGGAUUUCUGUUUACUGGGUAUUCAUUCAAUCUCGGGGUUCUAGAUGGAAGCGUUUACGUCAAUUACACCCUAUGCGUCAUUGUUGAAAUCGUUAGUUUAGUUAUUUUGUUAAUUGUUGGAAACAAAAUAGGACGGAAAACAAUACACCUAAUUUGUUUUUAUACAACUGGUAUACUGGCGGGGAUAACAGUGAUCUGCAAAAUUAAUGCCAGUCAGGCUGUUGGGUAUUGGCUGUCGAUUAUAGCCGCCAUUUUUGGAAGGAUGUGUGGGGGAACAGGAUUUGGACUGAUAUUCACGUUUACGAGUGAGUUAUUCCCCACUUCGUUAAGGACCUUCGUCAUAUCAACGGGUUACACGUUUACCAUGAUCGGUGGUAUGGCUGGUCCCUAUGUCGCCAACAUGGAAGAGCUUAUCCGUUUCGAUAUGAACAACAUUUUGCCGUUCAUUGUGUUUGGGACGACAUCGUUGAUCGCCGGAUUCUUGUGUUCAUUCCUGCCGGAAACUUUGCAUCGAGACUUACCCCAGCACAUGAGUGACGUUCUUAAAAAACAAGAGACUGACUGUAAAGAACCUGAAGUGUUUUCAGCGCACAUGUGAUCCAAGUAGAAAAGAAAAGUCGGUUAUCGUGAGUUAUAAAACAAAAGGCCCAUGCAAAUGAAUACAGGAGC